UACGUAGGGUCCAAGCGUUAAUCGGAAUUACUGGGCGUAAAGCGUGCGCAGGCGGUUGUGUAAGACAGAUGUGAAAUCCCCGGGCUCAACCUGGGAAUUGCAUUUGUGACUGCACAGCUAGAGUGUGUCAGAGGGGGGUAGAAUUCCACGUGUAGCAGUGAAAUGCGUAGAGAUGUGGAGGAAUACCGAUGGCGAAGGCAGCCCCCUGGGAUAACACUGACGCUCAUGCACGAAAGCGUGGGGAGCAAACAGG
rnacentral:rRNA from 1 species